ensembl:rRNA predicted gene, 25368
GGCCAUAUCUCCCUGAACACAGCUGAUCGCUUCUGAUCUUGGAAGCUAUGCAGAGUCAGGGCCUGUUAGUGUUUGGAUGGGAGAAUUCAUCUAUAUGUAUUUGUGUGCCCAUGUGUGUAUAUAUGCACAUGUU